AAGCGGUUGGUUGCCGACUGCAAGAUCUGUAGUCGGGCGGCCUCCCUUCUCAUUUUUGAGAAGGCCGAUUCGGCUGAGGAAGUUAAUUUAUUUGAGGUGGUUGGAUUUGUGGCUUGAAUCUUUCCUGACAUUUUUUUUCAAGGAAGAAAAAACAGGCUAUUGAUGCCUUGAUUGUUUUGAGGUAUUUGGAACCGUGAUGAAUGAUUUCUGAGUUCCCAGAAUCAUGCCUGCUCUGAUACCAUGUUAAAACAUGGUAUCAAUGAAU
rnacentral:lncRNA from 1 species